GGGACGGUAGCUCGAAGGUCGAGCAGAGGACUUUUAAUCCUCCGGCCAGGGUUCGAUUCCCUGCCGUCCCA
rnacentral:tRNA from 1 species